rnacentral:ncRNA from 1 species
GCAACUUGUAGUUGUUUUUAAUAAAAUUGGUUCCUUAGGUUAUUUGCCCUUCACUCGUUGAAGGGCUUUUUUAUGGCAUUCU